rnacentral:rRNA from 1 species
CAGCAGCCGCUGGAAAACGAAGGGGGCUAGCGUUGUUCGGAUUUACUGGGCGUAAAGCGCACGUAGGCGGAUCGAUCAGUCAGGGGUGAAAUCCCAGAGCUCAACUCUGGAACUGCCUUUGAUACUGUCGAUCUGGAGUAUGGAAGAGGUGAGUGGAAUUCCGAGUGUAGAGGUGAAAUUCGUAGAUAUUCGGAGGAACACCAGUGGCGAAGGCGGCUCACUGGUCCAUUACUGACGCUGAGGUGCGAAAGCGUGGGGAGCAAACAGGAUUAGAUACCCCCGUAGUCCCUGUCUCUUAUAA